rnacentral:rRNA from 1 species
AUUGAACGCUGGCGGCAGGCCUAACACAUGCAAGUCGAGCGGAGCGGCCGACGGGUGAGUAAUGCCUAGGAAUCUGCCUGGUAGUGGGGGAUAACGUCCGGAAACGGGCACUAAUACCGCCUACUCUCAGAUGAGCCUAGGUCGGAUUAGCUAGUUGGGGGGGUAAAGGCCUACCAAGGCGAAGGUCCGUAACUGGUCUUAGAGGAUGAUCAGUCACACUGGAACUGAGACACGGUCCAGACUCCUACGGGAGGCAGCAGUGGGGAAUAUUGGACAAUGGGCGAAAGCCUGAUCCAGCCAUGCCGCGUGUGUGAAGAAGGUCUUCGGAUUGUAAAGCACUUUAAGUUGGGAGGCGUUACCAACAGAAUAAGCACCGGCUAACUUCGUGCCAGCAGCCGCGGUAAUUC